UGCGGAGGAUCAUUAUUGAAUAAGCUUGGUUGGGUUGUUGCUGGCUCUUAGGGGCAUGUGCACACCUAACACCAACUUUCUUACCACCUGUGCACUCUUUGUAGACUUUGGAAAAAAAAAUACCCACUCGGUUUUGAGGACUGUCAUGCGCAAGCUUCUGGCUUUCCUUGCACUUUUCCAGUCUAUGUUUUAUAAUAUACACCUAUAGUAUGUUUCAGAAUAUCAUUUAAUGGGCUUGAUUGCCUUUUAAUUUCUAUAUAACUUUCAACAACGGAUCUCUUGGCUCUCGCAUCGAUGAAGAACGCAGCGAAAUGCGAUAAGUAAUGUGAAUUGCAGAAUUCAGUGAAUCAUCGAAUCUUUGAACGCACCUUGCGCUCCUUGGUAUUCCGAGGAGCAUGCCUGUUUGAGUGUCAUGAAAUUCUCAACCUUUUCAAUCUUUUAUUGGUUGAAGUAGGCUUGGAUGUGGGAGUCUUUUGCUGGCUUCUUUAAGAGGUCGGCUCUCCUUAAAUUUAUUAGCGGGGACCUUUGUUGCCCUCAGUGCUUAGUGUGAUAGUUAUCUACGCUACCUGCUGAAAUGCAACUGAAAAAAAAGGGGUUUAC
rnacentral:rRNA from 1 species